GGGGGCGUCCGGUCUCGACGGGGUAGUUGGGCUUCGGGACUGCGAGUCGAGGGCGCGAGCGUCACAGCGCAAAACAACACAUCUGCCAACAAGCAGAGCAGGCUCGCUCUCGCUGCGUAAGUAGCUUGAGCUAGCUUCCCGGGACACGAUCCCGGGCGUCGCCCCCGGUAGCACCGGCGGACCGGGGAGCGGCGUUAAAAAGCCGGAUCGCCGGCCUGGCGGCGCCUCGGCGCCGGGCCGGGACAUUCACCGAGGCUGGCCGCAAGGAUCCCGUCGUGAGGAGCCCCAAGGCGAGAUCAAAAUCACGAACACGCUCGUAGAGGUCCCGAGGGACGCUGCUCCGGACGCGGGUUCAACUCCCGCCGCCUCCACCA
rnacentral:tmRNA from 1 species